GGCACCGUGAUGAUCAAAAAGGGACUUAAUCCUGAAAAUUUGAUGAUUUACAUGCAUCUGAUGUGC